AGUCCCUCGGUUCUGUAGCUUCGAAACAUAAUCUUCUUCGUUGUUUUCAUAAUAAUCAAACACUUUGAAGCUUCUUAAAACCAGUACCUCGCCAUUGAUCCGCCCCCACCAAUAAUCCACGCCGUCCAGUUUUCUCGCCGGUAUAUUCUUCUCUCCUUUCUUUCCAUUGGACCAUGCGCUACAUUUUCCACCAUCGCGCGUAAACGCUGGAUACUAUCGUCAGUUCUUCGCACGGGCCUUUCGAUGCCGUCCCAGCGCGUCAUAUAAAACGCUGCGGGCCACGAUCAUCGCUUCUGCCGUACACCUGUAACGUUACGACAUCGGGAGGCGGUGAAUUUUAGAGACCAGGUCACAGCAUGUGACAAUUCUCUAGCAAUUAUGUAGUAGCAGUAGCAGUUGCAGUUGCCUAAGAAUCUUGAAUUGUCGACCUCCUCUUCGUCAUGGAUUCUGAAGGACCCAGAAGCAAAAGCAAACUCGAUCUUGAAAGAAUAUGCACAAGCUUUCAUCAUGACUACGAAGUAACAAGCUUAUAAGAU